rnacentral:lncRNA from 1 species
UAUAAUUUAUUUUUUCUACCAUUUUAUAGGGCCUGAUGAUUGUGAUGAUAAAGUAGACUAUUGCAUAUAAAGAUGGGCUUGAAUUAAAGAAGAAAUAACAGAUACAGUUGCUGAUGGCAAUUGGGCCAUUUUGUUUGUAAUAGAAGGCCAUUAAUCAUCAUAUUUAUUCUACCUUAUCCAACAUGAAAACCUUUUCCUGGAUUGAGUACAGAGCAGGUAAAGCUGAACAACAUUGCUUGCUCUAGUAUUUAUUAACAUGACACCAUCUGUU